AGUGAACGCUGGCGGUAGGCCUAACACAUGCAAGUCGAACGGCAGCACAGUAAGAGCUUGCUCUUACGGGUGGCGAGUGGCGGACGGGUGAGGAAUACAUCGGAAUCUACUUUUUCGUGGGGGAUAACGUAGGGAAACUUACGCUAAUACCGCAUACGACCUACGGGUAAAAGCAGGGGAUCUUCGGACCUUGCGCGAUUGAAUGAGCCGAUGUCGGAUUAGCUAGUUGGCGGGGUAAAGGCCCACCAAGGCGACGAUCCGUAGCUGGUCUGAGAGGAUGAUCAGCCACACUGGAACCGAGACACGGUCCAGACUCCUACGGGAGGCAGCAGUGGGGAAUAUUGGACAAUGGGCGCAAGCCUGAUCCAGCCAUACCGCGUGGGUGAAGAAGGCCUUCGGGUUGUAAAGCCCUUUUGUUGGGAAAGAAAAGCAGCAGGUUAAUACCCCGCUGUUCUGACGGUACCCAAAGAAUAAGCACCGGCUAACUUCGUG
rnacentral:rRNA from 1 species